AGACAGUUCGGUCCCUAUCUGCCGUGGGCGCUGGAGAACUGAGGGGGGCUGCUCCUAGUACGAGAGGACCGGAGUGGACGCAUCACUGGUGUUCGGGUUGUCAUGCCAAUGGCACUGCCCGGUAGCUAAAUGCGGAAGAGAUAAGUGCUGAAAGCAUCUAAGCACGAAACUUGCCCCGAGAUGAGUUCUCCCUGAGACUUAGAGUCUCCUGAAGGAACGUUGAAGACGACGACGUUGAUAGGCCGGGUGUGUAAGCGCAGCGAUGCGUUGAGCUAACCGGUACUAAUGAACCGUGAGGCUUAACCUUAC
rnacentral:rRNA from 1 species